rnacentral:rRNA from 1 species
UUUAUGGAGAGUUUGAUCCUGGCUCAGGAUGAACGCUGGCGGCGUGCUUAACACAUGCAAGUCGAACGGUGAACGAGGGAGCUUGCUCCCUCCGGAUCAGUGGCGAACGGGUGAGUAACACGUGAGCAAUCUGCCCCGAACUCUGGGAUAAGCGUUGGAAACGACGUCUAAUACCGGAUACGAGCUGCGAAGGCAUCUUCUGCAGUUGGCGACGGGUAGCCGGCCUGAGAGGGUGACCGGCCACACUGGGACUGAGACACGGCCCAGACUCCUACGGGAGGCAGCAGUGGGGAAUAUUGCACAAUGGGCGCAAGCCUGAUGCAGCAACGCCGCGUGAGGGACGACGGCCUUCGGGUUGUAAACCUCUUUUAGUAGGGAAGAAGCGAAAGUGACGGUACCUGCAGAAAAAGCACCGGCUAACUACGUGCCAGCAGCCGCGGUAAUACGUAGGGUGCAAGCGUUAUCCGGAAUUAUUGGGCGUAAAGAGCUCGUAGGCGGUUUGUCACGUCUGCUGUGAAAACUGGAGGCUCAACCUCCAGCCUGCAGUGGGUACGGGCAGACUAGAGUGCGGUAGGGGAGAUUGGAAUUCCUGGUGUAGCGGUGGAAUGCGCAGAUAUCAGGAGGAACACCGAUGGCGAAGGCAGAUCUCUGGGCCGUAACUGACGCUGAGGAGCGAAAGCAUGGGGAGCGAACAGGAUUAGAUACCCUGGUAGUCCAUGCCGUAAACGUUGGGAACUAGAUGUAGGGACCAUUCCACGGUUUCUGUGUCGCAGCUAACGCAUUAAGUUCCCCGCCUGGGGAGUACGGCCGCAAGGCUAAAACUCAAAGGAAUUGACGGGGGCCCGCACAAGCGGCGGAGCAUGCGGAUUAAUUCGAUGCAACGCGAAGAACCUUACCAAGGCUUGACAUACACGAGAACGGGCCAGAAAUGGUCAACUCUUUGGACACUCGUGAACAGGUGGUGCAUGGUUGUCGUCAGCUCGUGUCGUGAGAUGUUGGGUUAAGUCCCGCAACGAGCGCAACCCUCGUUCUAUGUUGCCAGCACGUAAUGGUGGGAACUCAUAGGAGACUGCCGGGGUCAACUCGGAGGAAGGUGGGGAUGACGUCAAAUCAUCAUGCCCCUUAUGUCUUGGGCUUCACGCAUGCUACAAUGGCCGAUACAAAGGGCUGCAAUACCGUAAGGUGGAGCGAAUCCCAAAAAGUCGGUCUCAGUUCGGAUUGAGGUCUGCAACUCGACCUCAUGAAGUCGGAGUCGCUAGUAAUCGCAGAUCAGCAACGCUGCGGUGAAUACGUUCCCGGGCCUUGUACACACCGCCCGUCAAGUCAUGAAAGUCGGUAACACCCGAAGCCAGUGGCCCAACCGCAAGGAGGGAGCUGUCGAAGGUGGGAUCGGUGAUUAGGACUAAGUCGUAACAAGGUAGCCGUACCGGAAGGUGCGGCUGGAUCACCUCCUUU